CCUACGGGAGGCAGCAGUGAGGAAUAUUGGUCAAUGGACGAAAGUCUGAACCAGCCAAGUAGCGUGCAGGAUGACUGCCCUACGGGUUGUAAACUUCUUUUAUAAGGGAAUAAAGCGAGGCACGUGUGCCUUUUUGCAUGUACUUUAUGAAUAAGGAUCGGCUAACUCCGUGCCAGCAGCCGCGGUAAUCCGGAGGAUCCGAGCGUUAUCCGGAUUUAUUGGGUUUAAAGGGAGCGUAGGUGGGUUGUUAAGUCAGUUGUGAAAGUUUGCGGCUCAACCGGAAAAUUGCAAUUGAUACUGGCAGUCUUGAGUACAGGUGAGGUAGGCGGAAUUCGUGGUGUAGCGGUGAAAUGCUUAGAUAUCACGAAGAACCCCGAUUGCGAAGGCAGCUUACUAAACUGUGACUGACACUGAUGCUCGAAAGCGGGGGUAGCAAAAAGGAUUAGAUACCCCGGUAGUC
rnacentral:rRNA from 1 species